rnacentral:rRNA from 1 species
AGAGUUUGAUCAUGGCUCAGAACGAACGCUGGCGGCAGGCUUAACACAUGCAAGUCGAACGCGUGUAGCAAUACACGAGUGGCGCACGGGUGAGUAACGCGUGGAUAUCUGCCUUUUGGUUCGGAAUAACUCCGGGAAACUGGAGCUAAUACCGGAUGGUUCCUACGGGAUAAAGAUUUAUCGCCAAAAGAUGAGUCCGCGUACGAUUAGCUAGUUGGUGAGGUAAUGGCUCACCAAGGCGACGAUCGUUAGCUGGUCUGAGAGGACGAUCAGCCACACUGGGACUGAGACACGGCCCAGACUCCUACGGGAGGCAGCAGUGGGGAAUAUUGGACAAUGGGGGCAACCCUGAUCCAGCCAUGCCGCGUGAGUGAUGAAGGCCUUCGGGUUGUAAAGCUCUUUUGGCGGGGACGAUGAUGACGGUACCCGCAGAAUAAGCCCCGGCUAACUUCGUGCCAGCAGCCGCGGUAAGACGAAGGGGGCUAGCGUUGUUCGGAAUUACUGGGCGUAAAGCGAGUGUAGGUGGUUGUCAUAGUCAGGUGUGAAAGCCUUGAGCUCAACUCAAGAAAUGCACUUGAUACUGGGCGACUAGAGGACCGGAGAGGAUAGUGGAAUUCCCAGUGUAGUGGUGAAAUACGUAGAGAUUGGGAAGAACACCAGUGGCGAAGGCGGCUAUCUGGACGGUUUCUGACACUAAGACUCGAAAGCGUGGGGAGCAAACAGGAUUAGAUACCCUAGUAGUCC